CCUACGGGAGGCAGCAGUGAGGAAUAUUGGUCAAUGGACGAGAGUCUGAACCAGCCAAGUAGCGUGAAGGAUGACUGCUCUAUGGGUUGUAAACUUCUUUUAUAAAGGAAUAAAACGAGGCACGUGUGCCUUUUUGCAUGUACUUUAUGAAUAAGGAUCGGCUAACUCCGUGCCAGCAGCCGCGGUAAUACGGAGGAUCCGAGCGUUAUCCGGAUUUAUUGGGUUUAAAGGGAGCGUAGAUGGGUUGUUAAGUCAGUUGUGAAAGUUUGCGGCUCAACCGUAAAAUUGCAAUUGAUACUGGCAGUCGUGAGUACAGUUGAGGUAGGCGGAAUUCGUGGUGUAGCGGUGAAAUGCUUAGAUAUCACGAAGAACCCCGAUUGCGAAGGCAGCUUACUAAACUGUGACUGACAUUGAUGCUCGAAAGUGUGGGUAUCAAACAGGAUUAGAUACCCCUGUUC
rnacentral:rRNA from 1 species